CCUAGGUGGAGAUUAUUCCAAGGGUGGGUCCAGCUACCGCAGUAGAUCACCUGUGGGACAAAGACUUUCCUACUCCAGUUAAGUGUCAAGAUUCCACAUCAUUAUAGCAUGUCCUGCAUCAAGAGAUAGAAAAGUGACCACCUCAAAACUACAGGUGGUGGAGGACUUUAUGGGACAGCAAGUCAUCAUUCAUCAAGCAUUCAUCAAAGUUUCAUUUUGUUUUUUCUUUAUUUCUGUACAUUUGUCUGAGAAUUGUAUGAUUCAUCUUAAAUGUUUUUUGGAAAUUAGCAUUUCACAUGCCAAUGUUUUGAAUGUCUACAAUUGCCACUGGUAUUAUUUAUUAAUACCGGCUCAUGUCACAAUCAGCCCACCAGCUGUAUAAUACAUGAUGCAUUCAUUCAAUGUAGUUCUUUAAGAAACUUCAAAUUUUCAAUAAAACGACUACACAACUGUUGUAUGCAUUCACAAUCUUUUUAGCCUACAUCACUAAUCAAAUCACAAUCCGUCUGUCUCCAAGUAGCCAACGAAUCUCAAGUUGCAAUAAGAACAUUUAAUAACUUUUUAAAUCUUCAAAAACUUCAUUUUCUACAAUUGAUAAAAAAAAUACCUGAAUUUCAUUUGAAAAAAAAAAAAUUUAAAUCGAACAUUAAUUCACGAAAUAUUCAAAUAAUUGGAAUUCAUAUCAGCAUUUUAAUGCACGUAAAUUAAUUCACAUUUUAAUCACUCAAUUUUGCAAAUUUAUCCGGAAAGUUUUAACAUUCACGUUGAUCAUUAAAUUUGUCACAAUCAUCAAUUUAAAAUUUAUCAAUCGGAAAAAUUUUGCAACUGCUACUUGAGAACUAUGCACGAAUUUUUGCUGCUGUGCAGCUUGUCACGUGCUCGAACAAUUGAGACUGCAAAUAAAUUUUGCACCUCUACCCCUUCUGCCUCUUGAUCACUGACAUCUUUUCCUAAUGUAAGUAUAAUUUCUUGUUCUUAAUGGCGAGGGGAAUUCGUAACG
rnacentral:lncRNA from 1 species